rnacentral:rRNA from 1 species
UGACCGUGCGAAGGUAGCAUAAUCAUUAGUCUUUUAAUUGAAGGCUUGUAUGAAUGGUUGGACGAGAAGCAAUCUGUCUCUGUUGAAAAAAUUGAAUUUAACUUUUAAGUGAGAAGGCUUAAAUAAUCUAGGGGGACGAUAAGACCCUAUAAAGUUUAAUAUUACGGCGAUAGAAAAUUAAUUAGGCUAUUAAAAUUUAUUAUUGUAAGUAAUAUUUUGUUGGGGCGACAAGAAUAUAAAUAAUUUAACUGUUCUUUUUUGUAUCAAGGAUAUUUGAGUUGAUGAUCUUUUUAAGAGUAUUAGAGUAAAUUACUUUAGGGAUAACAGCGUAAUUUUUUUUGAGAGUUCUUAUCGACAAAAGAGUUUGCGACCUCGAUGUUGAAUUAAAGAUUCUUUAUAAUGUAGAAGUUAUAUAAGAAGGUCUGUUCGACCUUUAAAUCUUUACAUGAUUUGAGUUCAGACCGGUGUGAGCCAGGUUGGUUUCUAUCUA